AAAUACACACGAGUCUAUUCUAUAAUAAGAUAAGAGUUUAAAUUGUGCAAAAUGCUACUUUAAAAAAAUCCACGUUUAUGAUAUUUAAUUCCAGAACAAAGUAUUUGGUUAUCUAUGUGGUAUGUAGUCGGUAACUUUGAUAAAACUGAGAACACUUGUCCGUCCGCGCGCCGUCGACCCCUAUAACCCUUAAUGUCUGAAGAGCCCUAAAUAGAUGGGCCCUAUUACCGAACAAAAGGAGCCCACCUUACAUUUGAUCUACCUUCAUCAAACAAGGUGACGUCAAUUGACCAGUAAACACCGGACGGAAGGAACGGAAAGGCACAGAGACACUCUCAAUUAUACAUAAGGACGUACAGACAUAUCAUAAACACGAAGAAGAACACAGACUGAACUUAUGUGAGUCCGACGCUCUGGUGAACACUCAACGAAAGUUUUAAUGUUAUGCACUCAGUGAAUAUUUGAAAUAUGCUAGUCCAUGAUAUAGUUGAUUCAAAGUUGUGUAUACAAUGUUUCUUAUUUGUACAUACAUUUGGAAGGGACCAUCUACUCAAGGAAUUUAUUGACUCAAAUUCUAUUCAGGCCGUCUAUGCAUCUUACUAGCACUAGCCACAAUACUAACAACAUAUUAAAAUCACAGCCGUUUAAGACUUAGUGCGAAGAUUUCGGCAAUCCAAGAAAAGGGGUGGGGGUUAAAGAAUGUUGUGGAUGCACUGCUUUGAAAUAUGAUUUAGUAAAAUUGUUUGAUUGUUGAAUCCCUGACCCUAUCAGAUAUGCGUUGUCAAUAUGUUUGACGUAAUGGUUUUGGACUCUAAUAAAUUUGAAUAA